rnacentral:rRNA from 1 species
UACGUAGGGUGCAAGCGUUAAUCGGAAUUACUGGGCGUAAAGCGUGCGCAGGCGGUGAUGUAAGACAGAUGUGAAAUCCCCGGGCUCAACCUGGGAACUGCAUUUGUGACUGCAUCGCUGGAGUACGGCAGAGGGGGAUGGAAUUCCGCGUGUAGCAGUGAAAUGCGUAGAGAUGCGGAGGAACACCGAUGGCGAAGGCAGCCCCCUGGGCCAAUACUGACGCUCAGGCACGAAAGCGUGGGGAGCAAACAGG